CUCCUUCAUUUUGGCAGCACAUAUCUUAAAAUUGGAACAAUGCAGAAGAGACGGUCUGGCCCUUGCUCAAGGCUGACACACACAUUCACAAAGCAUUCUAUAUUUUU
rnacentral:snRNA from 1 species